rnacentral:rRNA from 1 species
CCUACGGGAGGCAGCAGUGGGGAAUAUUGCACAAUGGGGGAAACCCUGAUGCAGCAACGCCGCGUGAGUGAUGACGGCCGUCGGGUUGUAAAGCUCUGUCUUCAGGGACGAGAAUGACGGUACCUGAGGAGGAAGCCACGGCUAACGACGGGCCAGCAGCCGCGGUAAUACGUAGGUGGCGAGCGUUGUCCGGAUUGACUGGGCGUAAAGGGAGCGUAGGCGGACUUUUAAGUGAGAUGUGAAAUACUCGGGCUCAACUUGAGUGCUGCAUUUCAAACUGGAAGUCUAGAGUGCAGGAGAGGGGACUGGCAUUCCUAGUGUAGCGGUGAAAUGCGUAGAGAUUAGGAAGAACACCAGUGGCGACGGCGAUUCUCUGGACUGUACCUGCCGCUGAGGCUCGACAGCGUGGGGAGCACACAGGAUUAGCUACCCCAGUAGUC